GGAGCCUUAGCUCAGUGGUAGAGCACUUGCAUAGGAUGUUUGUGAUCCUGGGAUCAAUUCCCAGUAUCACCA
rnacentral:tRNA from 1 species